UACAGAGGGGCAAGCGUUGUUCGGAAUUACUGGGCGUAAAGGGCGCGUAGGCGGCCUUCUAAGUCGAACGUGAAAUCCCCGGGCUCAACCCGGGAACUGCGUCCGAUACUGGAAGGCUUGAAUCCGGGAGAGGGAUGCGGAAUUCCGAGGGUGUAGGCGGUGAAAUGCGUAGGAUAAUCUGGAAGGAACACCGGUGGCGAAGGCGCAUCCUGGACCGGCAUUGGACGCUGACGGCGCGGAAAGCCAGGGGAGCAAAGCGGGG
rnacentral:rRNA from 1 species